GGGUNNUAAUUUUAAACCUAAAGAAUUUGGCGGUUUUUAAACUUACUAGAGGAACCUGUCCUGUAAUCGAUAGUCCACGAACUGAUUUACCUAUUUUUGUUAUCAGCUUAUAUACCGCCGUUUAGUGAAUUAAAUUAAUAAUUUCUCUUAAUUAAUUAGUUAAAUAAAUCAGGUCAAGGUGUAGUUUAUAGAUAGGAAGAGAUGGGUUACAAUAAUAUUUUAUAACGGAUUAUAUUCUUUAAAGAUUAUAUGAAGGUGGAUUUAGAAGUAAAUUUUGGUUAUUUGAAGUAAGCUCUUAAAAAUGUACAC
rnacentral:rRNA from 1 species